rnacentral:lncRNA from 1 species
AGGGGUUGGAAUAUUAGGCCUAGCAUGCUCUAACGCCUGUUUAUAAGCAUUAUAAACAGUUUGAGCAUUAACUUUAAUUGAUGCUUUCGCAUCAGCUAAUGUAGCAAUUUCUACUUCUGAAAGAUCUAAAGAUUGAUAAAUAGUAGAAUACCAAAAGUUAGGACCUCUUAAUUUCAUAGUUGGAUUUAACAUAGCAGAC